GCCCGGGUGGCGAAAUUGGUAGACGCAACGGACUUAAAAUCCGUCGGUAGAAAUACCGUGCCGGUUCAAGUCCGGCCCCGGGCACCA
rnacentral:tRNA from 1 species